AUUGAACGCUGGCGGCAGGCUUAACACAUGCAAGUCGAGCGGUAACAGAGAGAAGCUUGCUUCUCUGCUGACGAGCGGCGGACGGGUGAGUAAUGCCUAGGAAUCUGCCUAGUAGUGGGGGAUAACUUGCCGAAAGGUAAGCUAAUACCGCAUACGUCCUACGGGAGAAAGGAGGGGACCUUCGGGCCUUUCGCUAUUAGAUGAGCCUAGGUCGGAUUAGUUAGUUGGUGAGGUAAUGGCUCACCAAGACCGCGAUCCGUAACUGGUCUGAGAGGAAGAUCAGUAACACUGGAACUGAGACACGGUCCAGACUCCUACGGGAGGCAGCAGUGGGGAAUAUUGGACAAUGGGGGGAACCCUGAUCCAGCCAUGCCGCGUGUGUGAAGAAGGUCUUAGGAUUGUAAAGCACUUUAAGUUGGGAGGAAGAGCAGUUAACUAAUAUUUGACUGUUUUGACGUUACCGACAGAAUAAGCACCGGCUAACUUCGUGCCAGCAGCCGCCGUAA
rnacentral:rRNA from 1 species